GGGGAAUAUUGGACAAUGGGGGCAACCCUGAUCCAGCAAUGCCGCGUGUGUGAAGAAGGUCUUCGGAUUGUAAAGCACUUUCGACGGGGACGAUGAUGACGGUACCCGUAGAAGAAGCCCCGGCUAACUUCGUGCCAGCAGCCGCGGUAAUACGAAGGGGGCUAGCGUUGCUCGGAAUGACUGGGCGUAAAGGGCGUGUAGGCGGUUUACACAGUCAGAUGUGAAAUCCCCGGGCUUAACCUGGGAGCUGCAUUUGAUACGUGUAGACUAGAGUGUGAGAGAGGGUUGUGGAAUUCCCAGUGUAGAGGUGAAAUUCGUAGAUAU
rnacentral:rRNA from 1 species